rnacentral:rRNA from 1 species
AGCGAACGCUGGCGGCAGGCCUAACACAUGCAAGUCGAACGAACCUUCCGGGGUUAGUUGCGGUUGGGGGAGGAACACGGGGGAAGGUGCCGGUAGGUACGGAAUAACUCAGGGAAACGUGGGCUAAUACCGAAAGUGCUCUUCGGGGGAAAGAUUUAUCGCCGUUAGAGCGGCACGCGUCCGUUUAGCUAGUUGGUUGAGGUAAGGGCGCACCAAGGCUAGGUUCAGUAGCUGGUAUGAGAGGAGGAUCACCGACAUUGGGACUGAGACACGGCCCAAACUCCUACGGAAGGCAGCAGUGGGGGAUCUAGCGCAAUGGGGUAAGGGCUGACGCAGCCCGGCCGGGUAAAUGAUGAAGUUCGUAGGAAAGUGAAAUUCUUUCACCGGGGACGAUAAUGACGGUACCCGGAGAAGAAGCCCCGGCUAACUUCGUG